UGUACACGCUGUGACUAGCAUAUCAAUAAGCGGAGGAAAAGAAACUAACAAGGAUUCCCCUAGUAACGGCGAGUGAAGCGGGAAGAGCUCAAAUUUGAAAUCUUAAAGGGUUUCCCUUUACGAAUUGUAGUUUAAAGAAGUGUUUUCUGUUGAGGUUUUGGUAAAAGUUCUUUGGAAUAGGAUAUCAUAGAGGGUGAGAAUCCCGUAUUUGACCUUUACUUUCAACUUUGUGAUACACUUUCAAAGAGUCGGAUUGUUUGGGAAUGCAGUCCAAAAUGGGUGGUAAAUUUCAUCUAAAGCUAAAUAUUGGCGAGAGACCGAUAGCGAACAAGUACCGUGAGGGAAAGAUGAAAAGAACUUUGAAAGGAGAGUUAAACAGUACGUGAAAUUGUCAAAAGGGAAGCGUUUGACACCAGUGUUGUUUUUCUGAAAAUCAAUUAAAGAACUGUUUAUGCUAAGUUGUUUAGACUUUAUCAGCUAUCUGUUUAGUUUUGAGCUUUUCUUUAAUGCACUUUUCAGUUAACAAGUCAACAUCAAUUUCUUUUGCUGUGAAAAAAGCUUGAGGAAGGUGGCUUGAGAUUCGUCUUAAGUGUUUAUAGCCUCUUGCCUAUGCAGUCGGAGAGAUUGAGGUCUGCAGCGUAGAUCCUUCGGGGCUAAAUGCAUUUGUGCUAAGUUAUAGCAUUUUAUAGACAACUUGUUGACUAUGAUUUGUCUUGUAGCUUACUCGCUUAUGUUAUUUUACCUACGCUUAGGAUGUUGACUGAUAUGUAGUCGUA
rnacentral:rRNA from 1 species